rnacentral:tRNA from 2 species
GGGGCUAUAGCUCAGCUGGGAGAGCGCCUGCUUUGCACGCAGGAGGUCUGCGGUUCAAUCCCGCAUAGCUCCACCA